UCCAGUUUUGUUGAGUGACGUGCUCAGGCUGUGAACAGCAGCACCUGUGUGUCACUGUGGGAUAAAUGAGCAGUGCUGUGAUACUCUCUUGGAUCCAAUCUCUCCGCUGGGACCCGCAGGGCUGACGCAGUGACCCCUCUUAAACCACCAGCUUUCUGCCAGAAAGCAUUUUCCUGUGAGUCCAGCCAUCUUGAAACUGGUGUCUGGUGACCGUGCAGGCAGCGGGACGAGACGGCCGAGCUCCCAGAGACGAGAGAAAUCCCAUGAGUCUUGUGGGCAGAUGGAACGAGAGCGCCUUGAAGGACGGGAAUGUCGCCGGCAAGAAAAGAGAUCAUUCUCUCCAGAUGAAACGAACGUGUGAGGAUGAGAGAGAUCUUUGUGAUCUGCACACGUGCGACAGGCUCAAAGUCUGGAGCAGGAUGCAGGAAAUGAAGAGGCUGGAGAGGCCGAGCAACAUCACUGACCAUGUAAUUAUCCACUCAUGUCCCUCGGAUGGCAGGCGCGACGGCUCCCUGACA